GAUGAACGCUGGCGGCGUGCUUAACACAUGCAAGUCGAACGGAAAGGCCAGUGCUUGCACUGGUACUCGAGUGGCGAACGGGUGAGUAACACGUGGGUGUUCUGCCCUGCACUUCGGGAUAAGCCUGGGAAACUGGGUCUAAUACCGGAGAGGACAAUGGUUUGGAUGCCGUUGUGGAAAGUUUUUGCGGUGUGGGGUGAGCUCGCGGCCUAUCGGCUUGUGGGGGGGGUAAUGGGCUACCAAGGCGUCGACGGGUAGCCGGCCUGUGAGAGUGUACGGCGAUAUUGGGACUGAGGGGCGGCCCAGGCGCGUACGGGUGGCAGCAGUGGGGAAUAUUGAUCCAUGGGCGCAAGCCUGAUGCAGCGGGGCCGCGGGGUGGAUAACGGCUUUCGUGUUGUGAACGGGUUGUGCUAGGAACGAUGCGUGUUUGUGCGGGUACCUGGGGAAGAGACACCGGCUAACUACGU
rnacentral:rRNA from 1 species